rnacentral:rRNA from 1 species
AUGCCGCCCAAGCGCGGGCGGGGCCGCGGAAGGGGCCGGGGGCGCGGGAGGCCGCGCAGGGAGGCCCCGGCCGCGGACGAGGCGAGCGGCGGGGGCACCGACGACGACCUAGGUCUCGCGGCCAUCCCCUCCGCCUCCACCGCCGAGGAGCCCAGGCGAGGGCGCGGGCGGGGUAGGCGCGGCAGGCGCGGCCGGGGGAGCCGCGGGCGCGGGCGAACGCCCGCCGUCAAAGCAGAGGAGGACGACGAUAUGGAGGCCAGCGAGGAGUUGCCGCUGAAUUCUACCUUGGACGGCGACGCAAAGGAGGUUGACGAGGAGUUGCCGCCUCCUUCUACCGCGGAGAACGGUGUGGACAAGGGCAACGAAGAGAUGCCACCACAGGAUUCUGCCGAGGAGAAAGACGCACAAGGGGGAACGCAGAACUUGAGACCAGCAAGAAAACGCAAGUGGGAUCCUGUUGCUGACCCCUCUUCUCUUGAGCCUCGCCCUGCGCGAGUUAGGAAGACGCUGAAUCCUCCAGUAGUAGAUGGUUCACCUAAGGUGAAAGCUAAGGUGCAAGCUAAGGUGAAAGCUAAGAAUACAAAAAGGUCAGAUGGAACUUCAACCAUGUGUCAUCAGUGCCAGAGGAGGGACAAAGGGAGAGUUGUGCAGUGUCUUGGCUGCAAAGACAAAGACUACACGAGGAGAUACUGCAUGAAGUGCAUAGAUCGCUGGUAUCCACAUUUAACAGAAGAUGACUUUGUGAAUAGUUGUCCAUCUUGUCGCAAUAACUGCAACUGCAAAACCUGUCUACGGAAAAACAUAAUAAAGAAGGUUGACAAAUGGGAAGUAUCCAAAGAAGAUAUAAUCAAAUUCUCUCAUCGAAAUCUUCACUUCUUGCUCCCAUGGUUGAAAGACUUUCACCAUGAGCAGAUGCAAGAGAAAAGUAUUGAGGCAAUGAUUAAAGGUGUUGAUGCAUCUGAAGUGAAGGUUACUCAAGCGGACUGUAAAGAAGAUGAGCGGAUAUACUGUAACAACUGCAGAACAUCUAUAGUUGACCUCCACAGAAGCUGUGAUAAAUGUUCCUAUGAUCUCUGCCUCAGCUGCUGCCGGGAGCUUCGUGAUGGACUUAGUCCUGGUGCUGCUGCUGCAAAUAGCAUGGUCCUUACGCAACCUGGGGUAGAAGGCACAGAAGAUCUGCAACAGAGUAGUCACGAUAACAUUGCAAGUCCAAAGCCUUCUGAUGGACAGAAUAACGUUUUGAUGGACAAUGCAGUUCCUGUUAACAUUGCAAGUCCAAAGCCUUCUGAUGGACAGAAUGAUGUUUUGAUGGACAAUGCAGUUCCUGUUGAGGAUAAUGUUCCUGGUUUGAAACUAUGGAGGGUGAAUAGCAAUGGAAGCAUAUCUUGCCCGCCAAACGCUUUUGGUGGCUGUGGAGAUUCUGUUCUUGAACUUAAGUCAUUGUUGGAGGAGAAUAUUAUUUCUGACUUAUUGGAGAAAGCUGAUUUAGUUGUCAAGGAUGAAAGAACGCUGGAAGCGGGUGGUUCAAAAUGUUCCUGCUUUACCGACUCUAGUGAGAUGACCAAUGGAACCUCAUAUAAAUUGGCUUGUAGAGAUAACUCAAGUGACAAUUACAUAUAUUGCCCAAAUGCUAGAGAUGUUCAAAAUGGAGCUUUAGAUCAUUUCCAGGAGCACUGGUUGAAGGGUGAGCCUGUUAUUGUUCGUGACGUGCUUGAGUUAACUUCCGGGUUAAGCUGGGAACCUAUGGUUAUGUGGCGGGCUUUACGAGAAAAGAAAGACAAGAGCGAACAUGAGCGACUCUCAGUUACAGCUCUUGAGUGUCUGGCGUGGUCUGAGGUUGAAAUAAACACUAGCUUCUUUUUUAAUGGGUAUUCCCGUGGAGCUGUUGGUCCAGAGGGUUUGCCUGUGUUACUCAAGCUUAAAGAUUGGCCACAACACAGCUCAUUCGAGGAUCGACUGCCACGACAUCUUGCUGAGUUCAUAUCUGCCUUGCCAUUUCGUGAAUAUACAGAUCAUAAAUCUGGUCCUCUUAAUCUGGCAGUGAAGCUUCCAAAGAAAGUCAUAAAGCCAGAUCUUGGUCCAAAGACUUACAUUGCGUAUGGUGUUGCCCAGGAAUUAGGAGUUGGUGAUUCAGUCACUAAGAUUCAUUGUGACAUGUCUGAUGCGGUGAAUAUCUUAACACAUACUGAUGAAAUAAAGCUCAAAGCACAAAGGAUUGCAGCGAUUGAGAAAAAGAAGAAGAGUUUGGCAAGAAAGGAAGACAACAGAAAUCUUCAAGCUUCACAUCCUGACUGUGACAUGUCGAUAGCUCGCAGUGAAUUAAUGAAGGGGCCGAGACCUGAAGGAUCUGGGCAUGUCUCAGUCAUUAAGCAGCCAUUAUCAGAUGCUGUUUUAGACGAGCAUAAAGAUGUGGCAGCUGAUGAAGCUGAACAAAACAUCACUUCGAAUGGGCGAGCGCCCAUUGAAGGUGAUGUGGAUCAUAUGGAUCUUUCCAUUUCCAAGGAGGCAGCAGAAGCCACAGUUAAUGAGAGAGAGAAUGUGGGUUGUGGUUUAAGCAGUGAAGAUAAAAGUGAAUCUCCAGAUAAUUCAGAAGGAUCUUCUGAACCUAAUGGUCGUCAAACACACGGCGUGCGACGUAGCGGUCGUUCUUCUAAUGCAUCAAAGAGAAAAGUGGAAGAAAGCUCAGAAGAUGAGGUGAAUGGAUCCAUAACUCUUGAGAAAAGAAAAAAGGAAGCACCAAAGAGAAAAAAGGGAGCGCCAAAGAGAAAGAAAGAAGUGCCAGAGGGAAACCAAACAGGGGGUGGUGCAUUGUGGGAUAUAUUCCGACGGGAAGAUGUCAGCAAACUACAGGAGUAUCUAAUAAAGCAUUCAGAGGAGUUUAGGCAUUACAAUUAUGAACCAGUGAAGCAGGUUAUUCAUCCUAUACAUGAUCAGUGCUUUUACCUAACAAAUGAGCACAAGAGAAAACUCAAGGAAGAAUAUGGAGUUGAGCCUUGGACAUUUGAACAGAAACUUGGUGAUGCAGUCUUUAUCCCUGCAGGAUGUCCCCACCAAGUCAGAAAUUUGAAGUCAUGUAUAAAGGUUGCACUGGACUUUGUUUCUCCGGAAAAUGUAAAAGAGUGCAUCAAGUUGACAGAAGAAUUCCGUCUGCUUCCAAACUGGCAUAGGGUGAAUGAAGAUAAGCUAGAGGUUAAGAAGAUAGCUUUUCAUGCAAUCAAACGAGCCAUUCGUGAUAUUACCAAAAAAGAUGGCGAUCGAAGCUCCGAUGAUGAAGGUCAAGAUAAACCUGGACGUGGUUCGAGAAAAGUAAAAUCUGGUCGUCUGAAAAAAGUAAAAUCUGGUCGUCCGAAAAGAGGAAGACCUGGUCCAAGUGAACCAGCAGAAGCAGAGGAGCAAGAAGAACAAUCAGCUCAUGGAAUGUCUCCAGUUGAAGACAAAGGUCUAGAAAUGGAGGCGGACCAAGGAGAAUCAGCUCUGGAUAUGUGUGAAGCGAAAGAUGGACCAAGUGUCCGGCGUGGUUUGAGAAAAAGAAAACCUGGUGGUCUGAAAAAAGGAAAACCUGGUUGUCCGAAAAAAGGGAAACGUGGUCCAAGUGAACCUGCAGUUCCAGAGGAGCAUGAAGAGCCAUCAGCUCAGGAAAUGUCUCCAGUUGAAGAUGAAGGUGCAGAAAUGGAGGGGGACCAAGGACAAUCAGCUCCGGGCUUGUCUGAAGCGAAAGAUGGACCUGAAGAAAUGGAGGAGCAACAAGAAGAGUCAGCUCAGGACAUGUCUGAAGCUGAAGAAAUGAAGGAGCGCCAGGAACAUUCAGGUCAGGACAUGUCUGAAGCUGAAGAUGAGCCUGCAGAAGUGGAGGAGCACCAGGAACAUUCAGCUGUGGAGAUGAGUGAAGCUGAAGACGAACCUGCAGGAGUGGAGGAGCAGCAAGAAGAGUCAGGUCUAGGCAUGUCUGAAGAUGCAGGCGAUCCUGCAGAAAUGAAGGGGCACCAAGGACAGUCAGCUGAGGACAUGCCUGAAGUUAAAGAUGGAGCUGCAGAAAUGGGGGAGCGCCAAGAUGAGUCAGCUGAGGACAUGUGUGAAGCCGAAGACGAGCCUGCAGAAACGGGGGAGAGGCAGAAGCAAUCAGCUGGCGGCAUCCCUGAAGCUAAAGGCGAUCCUGCAGAGGCGCAGGAGGAGCACCAGAGACAGCAGGUUGAGGCUACCCUGCCUACAACGGCAUGA